rnacentral:rRNA from 1 species
CCGAAUGCUUGCUUCACCGUAAGAAGUUGAGUGGCGGACGGGUGAGUAACACGUGGGUAACCUGCCUAAAAGAAGGGGAUAACACUUGGAAACAGGUGCUAAUACCGUAUAUCUCUAAGGAUCGCAUGAUCCUUAGAUGAAAGAUGGUUCUGCUAUCGCUUUUAGAUGGACCCGCGGCGUAUUAACUAGUUGGUGGGGUAACGGCCUACCAAGGUGAUGAUACGUAGCCGAACUGAGAGGUUGAUCGGCCACAUUGGGACUGAGACACGGCCCAAACUCCUACGGGAGGCAGCAGUAGGGAAUCUUCCACAAUGGACGCAAGUCUGAUGGAGCAACGCCGCGUGAGUGAAGAAGGUCUUCGGAUCGUAAAACUCUGUUGUUAGAGAAGAACACGAGUGAGAGUAACUGUUCAUUCGAUGACGGUAUCUAACCAGCAAGUCACGGCUAACUACGUGCCAGCAGCCGCGGUAAUACGUAGGUGGCAAGCGUUGUCCGGAUUUAUUGGGCGUAAAGGGAACGCAGGCGGUCUUUUAAGUCUGAUGUGAAAGCCUUCGGCUUAACCGGAGUAGUGCAUUGGAAACUGGAAGACUUGAGUGCAGAAGAGGAGAGUGGAACUCCAUGGGUA